UACGAAGGGUGCAAGCAUUAAUCGGAUUUAUUGGGCGUAAAGGGCGCGUAGGCGGGGAUGUAAGUCAGAUGUGAAAUCCCGGGGCUCAACCCCGGAACUGCAUUUGAAACUACAUUUCUUGAGGGUAGAAGGAGAAAACGGAAUUCCACAAGUAGCGGUGAAAUGCGUAGAUAUGUGGAAGAACACCGGUGGCGAAGGCGGUUUUCUAUUUUAUUCCUGACGCUAAGGCGCGAAAGCUAGGGGAGCAAACAGG
rnacentral:rRNA from 1 species